rnacentral:rRNA from 1 species
GAUGAACGCUGGCGGCGUGCCUAAUACAUGCAAGUAGAACGCUGAAGGAGGAGCUUGCUCUUCUGGAUGAGUUGCGAACGGGUGAGUAACGCGUAGGUAACCUGCCUGGUAGCGGGGGAUAACUAUUGGAAACGAUAGCUAAUACCGCAUGACAACAGUUAUUGCAUGAUAACUGUUUAAAAGGGGCAACUGCUCCACUACCAGAUGGACCUGCGUUGUAUUAGCUAGUUGGUGAGGUAACGGCUCACCAAGGCGACGAUACAUAGCCGACCUGAGAGGGGGAGCGGCCAAACUGGGACUGAGACACGGCCCAGAGUCCUACGGGAGGCAGCAGUAGGGAAUCUUCGGCAAUGGACGGAAGUCUGACCGAGCAACGCCGCGUGAGUGAAGAAGGUUUUCGGAUCGUAAAGCUCUGUUGUAAGAGAAGAACGAGUGUGAGAGUGGAAAGUUCACACUGUGACGGUAUCUUACCAGAAAGGGACGGCUAACUACGUG